UGAGUGCAUUUCUUUGUAUGGAUUGUUCUAUCCCAAACAAAUGCAGAAAGAACAGUUGGUAAUAUUGACCUGAGUAAAUAUGUAAGAGAAGAGGCAUCCUGCUAUCUACUAAUAACAAUUGCCAACCUUCCCAAUAGAAAAAUGGACAUUUUUUUUUUCUUCUAAGAUCAUGAAGGUGUUUACUGACUGGCCAUUGGGAAAAUUGUGAAGCACCUGCUGGAUGCAGGAGAUACAUAGUGAAGAAGACAUUCUCCAAGCACUCCGGAAGCUUAUCUACUAUUGAGCAAAUCACUUCAUCACAAUUGGGAUGAGUGUGAAUCAUGAGUGGUGCUCUCUAUUCCAAGAGAAUGGACCUUCUUCUUGAAAUGUUCAUCCAACAAGAGGGGAUUCAACAGCAUUCAGCAAGGGGGGAUUCAAUCUUGCAAGCCAACAGCAGCCCAUAUGCACUUCCCAAGCGAGCUACACGGCAUCCUACUGUCC
rnacentral:lncRNA from 1 species